rnacentral:rRNA from 1 species
GGCUGUCGUCAGCUCGUGUUGUGAAAUGUUGGGUUAAGUCCCGCAACGAGCGCAACCCUUAUCCUUUGUUGCCAGCGGUCCGGCCGGGAACUCAAAGGAGACUGCCAGUGAUAAACUGGAGGAAGGUGGGGAUGACGUCAAGUCAUCAUGGCCCUUACGACCAGGGCUACACACGUGCUACAAUGGCGCAUACAAAGAGAAGCGACCUCGCGAGAGCAAGCGGACCUCAUAAAGUGCGUCGUAGUCCGGAUUGGAGUCUGCAACUCGACUCCAUGAAGUCGGAAUCGCUAGUAAUCGUGGAUCAGAAUGCCACGGUGAAUACGUUCCCGGGCCUUGUACACACCGCCCGUCACACCAUGGGAGUGGGUUGCAAAAGAAGUAGGUAGCUUAACCUUCGGGAGGGCGCUUACCACUUUGUGAUUCAUGACUGGGGUGAAGUCGUAACAAGGUAACCGUAGGGGAACCUGC